AGCGAACGCUGGCGGCAGGCCUAACACAUGCAAGUCGAACGAACCUUUCGGGGUUAGUGGCGGACGGGUGAGUAACACGUGGGAACGUGCCUUUAGGUUCGGAAUAACUCAGGGAAACUUGUGCUAAUACCGAAUGUGCCCUUCGGGGGAAAGAUUUAUCGCCUUUAGAGCGGCCCGCGUCUGAUUAGCUAGUUGGUUGAGGUAAUGGCUCACCAAGGCGACGAUCAGUAGCUGGUCUGAGAGGAUGAUCAGCCACAUUGGGACUGAGACACGGCCCAAACUCCUACGGGAGGCAGCAGUGGGGAAUCUUGCGCAAUGGGCGAAAGCCUGACGCAGCCAUGCCGCGUGAAUGAUGAAGGUCUUAGGAUUGUAAAAUUCUUUCACCGGGGACGAUAAUGACGGUACCCGGAGAAGAAGCCCCCGGCUAACUUCGUG
rnacentral:rRNA from 1 species